UUUAAAAAUGGUGAUCAAUUGUUUUUUUGUGCCGGUUGUGCAAACCUCAAAGCUGACUGCCUCUUUUUAGAACUAGUCCCCGAACUAGGAUAUGUAAUUGAGUCGUGAGAUG